rnacentral:rRNA from 1 species
GGAGUAAAUGGCGGGAUGGCCCUACACAUGCAAGUCGAACGGCAGCACAGCAGAGCUUGCUCUGUGGGUGGCGAGUGGCGGACGGGUGAGUAAUGCAUCGGGACCUACCCAGACGUGGGGGGUAACGUAGGGAAACUUACGCUAAUACCGCAUACGUCCUACGGGAGAAAGCGGGGGACCUUCGGGCCUCGCGCGGUUGGACGGACCGAUGUUCGAUUAGCUAGUUGGUAAGGUAAUGGCUUACCAAGGCGACGAUCGAUAGCUGGUCUGAGAGGAUGAUCAGCCACACUGGGACUGAGACACGGCCCAGACUCCUACGGGAGGCAGCAGUGGGGAAUAUUGGACAAUGGGCGCAAGCCUGAUCCAGCAAUGCCGCGUGUGUGAAGAAGGCCUUCGGGUUGUAAAGCACUUUUAUCAGGAACGAAAUACCACGGGUUAAUAACCUAUGGGGCUGACGGUACCUGAGGAAUAAGCACCGGCUAACUUCUUGCCAGCAGCCGCGGUAAUACGAAGGGUGCAAGCGUUAAUCGGAAUUACUGGGCGUAAAGGGUGCGUAGGCGGUUCCUUAAGUCUGUCGUGAAAUCCCCGGGCUCAACCUGGGAAUGGCGAUGGAUACUGGCGAGCUAGAGUGUGUCAGAGGAUGG